rnacentral:rRNA from 1 species
UUCCAGACUCCUACGGGAGGCAGCAGUGAGGAAUAUUGGUCAAUGGGCGGGAGCCUGAACCAGCCAAGUCGCGUGAGGGAAGAAGGUACUGAGUAUUGUAAACCUCUUUUGCCAGGGGACAAAGGCGGCCACGGGUGGCCGUAAGAGGGUACCUGGAGAAAAAGCAUUGGCUAACUCCGUGCCAGCAGCCGCGGUAAUACGGAGGAUGCGAGCGUUAUCCGGAUUUAUUGGGUUUAAAGGGUGCGUAGGCGGGCUGUUAAGUCAGCGGUCAAAUGUCGGGGCUCAACCCCGGCCUGCCGUUGAAACUGGCGGCCUUGAGUGGGCGAGAAGUAUGCGGAAUGCGUGGUGUAGCGGUGAAAUGCAUAGAUAUCACGCAGAACUCCGAUUGCGAAGGCAGCAUACCGGCGCCCGACUGACGCUGAGGCACGAAAGCGUGGGUAUCGAACAGGAUUAGAUACCCGCGUACA